AUUGAACGCUGGCGGCAUGCCUCACACAUGCAAGUCGAACGGUAACAGGUUAAGCUGACGAGUGGCGAACGGGUGAGUAAUAUAUCGGAACGUGCCCAGUCGUGGGGGAUAACGUAGCGAAAGCUACGCUAAUACCGCAUACGAUCUACGGAUGAAAGCGGGGGAUCGCAAGACCUCGCGCGAUUGGAGCGGCCGAUAUCAGAUUAGGUUGUUGGUGAGGUAAAGCUCACCAAGCCUGCGAUCUGUAGCUGGUCUGAGAGGACGACCAGCCACACUGGAACUGAGACACGGUCCAGACUCCUACGGGAGGCAGCAGUGGGGAAUUUUGGACAAUGGACGCAAGUCUGAUCCAGCAAUGCCGCGUGCAGGACGAAGGCCUUCGGGUUGUAAACUGCUUUUGUACGGAACGAAACGGUGAGCUCUAAUACAGUUUGCUAAUGACGGUACCGUAAGAAUAAGCACCGGCUAACUACGUGCCAGCCGCCGCGGUAA
rnacentral:rRNA from 1 species